GGAAAAGAAACCAACAGGGAUUGCCCCAGUAACGGCGAGUGAAGCGGCAACAGCUCAAAUUUGAAAUCUGGCCCCCAGGGCCCGAGUUGUAAUUUGCAGAGGAUGCUUUUGGCGCGGUGCCUUCCGAGUUCCCUGGAACGGGACGCCAUAGAGGGUGAGAGCCCCGUCUGGUCGGACGCCUAGCCUGUGUAAAGCUCCUUCGACGAGUCGAGUAGUUUGGGAAUGCUGCUCUAAAUGGGAGGUAUAUGUCUUCUAAAGCUAAAUACCGGCCAGAGACCGAUAGCGCACAAGUAGAGUGAUCGAAAGAUGAAAAGCACUUUGAAAAGAGGGUUAAAUAGUACGUGAAAUUGUUGAAAGGGAAGCGCUUGUGACCAGACUUGGGCCCGGUGGAUCAUCCAGCGUUCUCGCUGGUGCACUCCGCCGGGUUCAGGCCAGCAUCAGUUCGCCGCGGGGGAAAAAGGCUUCGGGAACGUGGCUCCUACGGGAGUGUUAUAGCCCGUUGCAUAAUACCCUGGGGCGGACUGAGGUUCGCGCUCCGCAAGGAUGCUGGCGUAAUGGUCAUCAGCGACCC
rnacentral:rRNA from 1 species